rnacentral:rRNA from 1 species
AUUGAACGCUGGCGGCAGGCCUAACACAUGCAAGUCGAGCGGAUGAAGGGAGCUUGCUCCUGGAUUCAGCGGCGGACGGGUGAGUAAUGCCUAGGAAUCUGCCUGGUAGUGGGGGAUAACGUCCGGAAACGGGCGCUAAUACCGCAUACGUCCUGAGGGAGAAAGUGGGGGAUCUUCGGACCUCACGCUAUCAGAUGAGCCUAGGUCGGAUUAGCUAGUUGGUGGGGUAAAGGCCUACCAAGGCGACGAUCCGUAACUGGUCUGAGAGGAUGAUCAGUCAAGCGGGGAAUGGGGCAAGGGCCAGACCACCACGGGGGGGAGAGGGGGGGUAUAAUGGAAAAGUGGGCAAAGUCUGAAGCAGCCAAGGCGGGGGGGUGAAGAAGGUUUUCGGUAUGUAAAUGUUCUUAAGUUGGGAGGAAAGGAAGUAAGUUAAAACCUUGCGGUUGUGGCGGUACCAACAAAAAAAGCCCCCGCUAACCUCG